AGGAGAAUCUUCUAGGGUAAAUUCCAUUGUACCUCCUGAAUUUUUGGCGAAGUUUCAUUUUAUCUCUCGAACUCCUAAAAUGGACUUCUAAUACCCUAAACUCUAAUAUUUCAUUCAUGUUACCUCUUUCGUCAGUUUUCUGUCAAGCUCAGUUAACCGGAAACUGACGGAGGGGUAAAACGAAUGAAAUAUUAGAGUUUAGAGUGUUAGAUGUCUAUUUUAGGAGUUUGAAGGGCUAAGUGAAACUCGCCAAAAAUUUAGGAGGUGACAGUACAAUUUACCCCCUAGGGAUUCUUGACUAUAAAUUAUUUUAUUAUAAUAUGUUACUUAUGGAUUGACCUUUAAUUCUUAAGUUAGUGAUCAUGGUUGAUUUUUAAUUUAUAUAUAUUUUUUAUUCUAAAAUAAAUCAUACCAUAAUUUAUCAUACAUUUUAUUGUAAUAAAAUAAAAAUAAAAAAAAUAAAUUAGAGCGGCUUAAAGAUAAGAAAAGAGCGAUACUAACUACUUACGAUACUCGAACACUCUACUGUCCUGAUGUACUUGCUAAUAUGGUUGAUUUACAAUAGGUGUCCUCACUCGGAUAUAGAGAUUUUAAUUUUCAAUUAAUUUUCUGUAAUACUCAUUUGUCCCUUUUAUCUAUAGAAGUAUUGUUCUAAAAAAUACACUUAUUUUUUAUGAAACUAUAAAAUAUAAUUUUAUUGUAGCCUAAAAUAAAAUUUUUGUACUUCAUUUCAGCCAAUUAAAAAUUUUUAAUAUAAAAAUUUAAAACAAUAUUUUAUUAGAAAAUGCACUUAUUUCCUAUGAAACUAUGUAAUGUAAUGUUAUUGUAGUCUAAAAUAAAAUUUUUGUACUUCAUUUCAGCCAAUUAAAAGUUUUUAAUAUAAAAAUAUAAAAUAAUAUUUUAUAAUAUUUUAGAACAAUGCUUCUAAAGAUAAACGGGACAAACGAGUACUAUAGAAAAUUAACUGAGAAUUAAAAUCUCUAUAUCUGAGUGAGGACACCUAUUGUAAAUCAACCAUAUUAGCAAGUACACCAGGACAGUAGAGUGUUCAAGCAUCGUAAGUAAUUAGUAUCGCUAUUUUCUUAUCUUUAAGCCACUCUAAUUUAUUUUUUUUAUUUUUAUUUUAUUACAAUAAAAUGUAGGAUAAAUUAUGGUAUGAUUUAUUUUAGAAUAAAAUAUAUAUAUAAAUUAAAAAUCAAACAUGAUCACUAACUUGAGGAUUAGUAGUCAAUCCAUAAGUAACAUAUUAUAAUAAAAUUGUGAGAUCCCUGGUGUUUGACUGUGGAGGCUUGUCGACAGCUCUGGAGAGUGUCGGGAUAAGUCCGAGUCGCGUUGGCGUCAAAUAGACGCAAAACGGAUUCCGUGCGACGUGAGGGCAACUUUCAGCGAAGAAAAUCUGCAAAUUGCAGUUUUUCUGCUUGCUGUACCGGUACAGCCAUUAAGGUGUACCGGUACACUGCACUAGGCCGCGCGCGGGUUGCUCUCGGGUUGGCUCCUGUACCGGUACGCGAUCCCGUGUACCGGUACACCAGGGUAGGUGAGAGGGUGUUUUGAUCUUUUCUCUCUCUCGUUUGUAUCACCAGCCCUCCCUCUCUCUAUUUAGCCAUGUGAGGACAGAGAGAGGGAGUUCCUCUGCUGCUACUUCCUCUCUCUCACUCUCAAACCGAUCAUAGGCUAGGGAGGAGCUCGGUUGGGGAAUUCGUCGCCUACGUCGCGCCGCGAAGCCAUUCGAGCACACUUUCGACGUCGUGUUGCUGCGAGGAGGUCGGGCGAGUGCGGCUUUUCGCCAUCCUUGACGUCGUGCUGAUUCUAGGUACAUGUUGAAGUGUUUUACCUGUGGGCAUUCCUCCAAGUACUUCAAUUCCAUUAAUAUCGAGCUCGGAUGCUACUGCUGCAGAUUUCUGCGUCGACUGUCGGUAUUUUGGCUCGUACGCGACGUAGGAGCAUCGGAUUGCGACGAGACUUGGUUUGUUGGAUUCGGGACUUCGAGAGGAAUCCACAAAGCCCUUACUUGCGAAGCCCUUACUUGGAAAUUGAAUUAGGAGAAAACCUGCGAUUUGGACCUGUCACCUGUUUAAACUGCCUGAUUUAGCUCUAGGAGUCGUUAUAAAAUUAUACUGUCGCAGUAUCCUCAAGACGAGUACUCCAGGUAGUUUAGAAUACAUUUACGCUCGUGCUGGUAUGCCGAGUGGAUUUUUACAGGGUCGUUCAGGUUGUUCCGGACUGUUGGGUGCCGUCAGAUUUGACGGUGGACCCGUAUCACCUUUUUGGCGUCAGAUUGUGCCGAGGGCACGUUACCUGUUGGUUGUUAGACCAGUUUGAGUCGGUUACUUGACUUUGGCUAUUGAGAGCCUGAUUGAGCUCGACAGAGAUACGCUGCAUACUCGGUUGGGUAGCGCCCACGAGUGCCACUCCGGAGACGGGCUUUGUGCUUUCGCGUUGGUGUCGCUCAUGCCAGUUGGACUUGCUCUCCACGGACCAGUUAGUGUGGAGGUAGCUGGACAGUCGCAACGGGGCAGGGACGGGUAUAUUCACAGUCCCGGAGACGGGUAUGCUUACAGUCCCGAUUGGAUUUGGUCAGUUUUGACAUUUCCUACAGUUGGUUAGCGUAGAGCAUGAUAGUGUAGUGAUUGAUAGCGGUAGAGUGUACUUCCUGCUUUUCCUACUAUCCUUACUCCCUUCUGUAGACUUAGUGGGUGACCGAUGUUGUUUUGGGCGGUACCCACUGAGGACUACUUAUUUUUGCUGUAGUUCUCAUGCCCAGUUGUUACUCUUGUUUUGCAGAGCCACAGAUUUCGGCUGCUGCGCCUUCCGUGGAUCAGGAUCGAGGCAAGGGCGUCGCGAGCUAGAGCCCUACCCGACUGACAGAGCUAGAGGCACCCCUACUGCAGGUAGAUGUUUUGUCUGAGUUUAUGUACAUAGCUUACUUAACCUGCCAGUGCGGGUAACUCUGUAUUUUGGACUUGGACUAUGUAUAUGAAACUCAGUUGUUUAGCUUCUGUUUAUUGAGCAGCUCUAUGCUACUGUUUGUAGUAUUAUAUAUCUACAGGUACUUUUGACGCUUCGUAUACAGGGGAAAGUCCUUUGCAUACGGCGGAUUUGUCGGCGUGCCCGGGGAACGAGACAUCCGGGGCGUGAUAGAUUAAGUUGGUAUCAGAGCUUUGCUAUAGGUCGUUGGGACCUAGGAAACCCUAAGUUGGCAAACCUUAGGAAGUAAGACGCGAGAGGCGUAAUUUAAUUGCGAAAGUCAAUGAUUAUUUGUUCUAACUCCUCCUAGAGUGGAGUGAGUGACUGAAGGAGUUCCUGUUUUGGCCUGAGAAAUUAUGUUGGCUGCAGACGACAUAAUUUUGGAGGAAAAGAGGGACCCGCCUUCCAGACUUUUGUUGAUUGGGUCGAGAGUGUUGUGUUGUAUCUGACCCCGAUUUGUUCCUUUCAGCAAUGUAUCGUCGCCGAGGUCGACCGUCGUUGCGGGAGCGUGCCCAGUUGGUGCGGGAUCGUGCAGAAUCUCCCGAGAGACUUGAGCAGAUGGAGCAGAGUGACAGACCGGAGGCGAGCGCACCCCCUGUUGUAGAGCCGAGUGUGCGACCUGAGGCUCGCGCACCCCCUGAUCUGAGUGCACAGUUGGCUGCCCUGACUGAGGUGACGAGGCAGCAGGGGGAGUUGUUGCAGAGGUUGUGUGAGAGGGUGGCUCAGACACCGAGUGCUGCACCGAGAGUACUAGAGCAGACUGUUCCACCACUGACUACCCCAGCGUCAGCUCCAGCCGCAGCUAUGCCCCCACCAGUGGAGCUUCCUACAGCGCCAGUUGCGCCUGCUAGGGGACCCGUACAGUUGACUGAGGCCGAGCAGGAGUGGUGGACUGAGAGGUUGGCUCGCUUUCGUCGUUUUGAUCCACCGAUUUACGAUGGCAGGUGCACUGAAGCCUGGGUUGUUGAGGGAUGGGUUAGUGCAAUGGAGAAACUAUUUGAGGAUCUGUUUAUUCCAGAAGGGGAGCAGGUACCUCUGGGAGUACACUGUUUAGCAGGUGAUGCGCAUGACUGGUGGCGGAGGGCGAGACGAGACCAGGGGCUGGUGGCGACGCAGUUGAGGUGGGAUGAGUUCUGUGGAAUGCUGUUUGGGAUGUUCUUUCCCAACAGUGUGAAGCAGAAGCUCGAGGAGGAUUUGAGGAGGCUUCAGCAGGGAGACCGCCCAGUGCAGGAGUACGUUCAAGAGUUUACUCGACUCCUGAACUGUGUACCAUUUGCGGCCAGAGACGAGGCGCACAGGGUGUACAUGUUCGAGCAGGGGCUGAGACCGGAUAUCUUUAGGUUGACUCGGACACAGAGGUCGAGGACUCUGGAUGCGUCUAUAGAGCAGGCCUUGUGGGUGGAGCGAGGGGAGACAUCGCUGUAGGAGAGGACUCAGGCCGUGGGGCAGAGUCAGGACAGGAAGCGCCCAGCUCCAGAUGACGGAGGUCAGUCGAGUAGCAGGCGUCCACCGAGGCCUCCGCGAUUGCGUUCACAGGGUCGAGGGUCCUCGGGGCGUCAGCGAUCCAGGGACUCUCGUCAGAGGGGACAGCCAGAGAGAAAGCCGCAGUGUGUGAUCUGCGGAGGACCACACUGGCCAAGACAAUGUGAGCAGAGGGAGGGCCGGUGCUACGGGUGUGGUCAGCUGGGACACAUGAGGGCAGCUUGUCACCGAGCAGCAUCUCCAGCACCAUCAUCAGCUUCGGCUCCACCAGCACCUCAGCAGACUUACAGAGCAGCACCGAGUUACCGCCAGGAGGAUAGGUCGUCCAUGCCGCGACAGGGUGAGCGGCGACAGCAGGCUCCGAGUGGCAGAGUCUAUGCAGCUCAGGUGGAGGACUCUACAGCAGCCGACCGAGUAGUGGCAGGUAUCACUUUGAUUUCCGGCAUUCGUACUCGUACUCUUUUUGAUACUGGAGCCUCGCAUUCUUUUGUUAGCCGAGCAUUUGCAUUGUUGCAUGGUCUAGAUUAGGGGCAUUGUCACAGGCACGAGAGGUGCAGAUCCCGGAUCAUGUUUUACAGGUUGUAGAGUGUUGUUGGUCGUGUCCGGUGCAAUUGGAUUCGUGGGUCAUGCCCGCAGAACUGUUGGUGCUAGGGCAGCUGCAGGACUUCGACGUUGUGCUCGGUAUGGAUUGGCUGGCGCGGUACUAUACUACUAUUGAUUGUGGAGCGAGGACUGUGACAUUCCGCGAGCCAGGCCAGGAGGAGUUUACUUUUAGAGGCUACAGGAGCACAUUGUUUGCCACCUGGAUAUCUUCGGCGAGGGUUCGACAGAUGCUGAGUAGUGGGUGUAUCGCUUUCCUAGCGACUGUUGUGGAGGUACCUACGGCGGCACCGGGACUCGAGGACAUUCCAGUAGUCCGCGAGUUUCCGGAUGUGUUUUCCCCUGAGUUGACGACAUUGCCGCCGGAAAGGGAGAUUGAGUUUGUGAUUGAUGUAGUUCCUGGAACUGCACCAAUCUCAAAGGUACCUUAUCGGAUGGCGCCGGCAGAGCUGAGAGAGCUAAAGGCACAGCUUCAGGAUCUGAUGGAUAGAGGGUUUGUGAGACCCAGUGUAUCGCCUUGGGGAGCGCCAGUGCUAUUUGUAAAGAAGAAGGAUGGUUCACUCAGGUUAUGUGUGGAUUACCGGGAGCUAAAUAAAGUGACCAUUAAGAAUAAGUAUCCCUUGCCGCACAUUGAUGAUUUGUUUGAUCAGCUGCAGGGAUCUUAUGUCUUCUCGAAAAUUGAUCUCCAGUCAGGUUACCACCAGGUGAUGGUGAGGGUGAGGGUCGAGGAUGUUCCCAAGACGGCUUUUCGGACUCGGUACGGGCAUUAUGAGUUCACAGUGAUGCCUUUUGGAUUGACGAAUGCCCCUGCCGCAUUCAUGGAUUUGAUGAACAGAGUGUUCAAGCCGUUCUUGGAUAGAUUUGUGGUAAUCUUCAUCGAUGAUAUCCUGAUAUACUCCCGGAGUGAUGCUGAGCAUGAGGAGCACUUGAGGAUUGUGCUACAGCUUCUGCGAGAGAAGAAGCUGUAUGCCAAGUUGAAGAAGUGCGAGUUCUGGCUACGGAAGGUUGUUUUCUUGGGCCACGUGAUUUCAGCCGAGGGCGUAGCAGUGGACCCGAAGAAGAUUGAGGCAAUUCGAGAUUGGCCUAGACCGACGACGGUGACUGAGGUACGGAGUUUCUUGGGACUGGCAGGAUAUUACUGUCGAUUUGUGGAAGGCUUUGCGAAGCUUUCCACACCCCUCAUACGCUUGACGCGGAAGGGGAUUCGAUUUGUCUGGAGCGAUGACUGUUAGAGGAGCUUUGACGAGUUGAGAUUGAGGUUGACAUCGGCUCCUAUCCUUGCCCUUCCAGUGAUGGAGGAUGGAUUCGUGAUCUACAGUGAUGCAUCGCACAGUGGACUUGGUUCCGUACUGAUGCAGCAUGGUAGGGUGAUUGCUUAUGCUUCACGGCAGUUAAAAGAUUAUGAGAAGAAUUACCCUACGCAUGACUUGGAGCUUGCCGCGGUGGUUUUUGCUUUGAAGCUCUGGCGGCAUUACUUGUACGGCGAGCACUGCGAGGUCUUCACCGAUCAUAAAAGUCUCAAGUAUCUGUUCACACAGAGGGAGCUGAACCUGAGGCAGCGCCGGUGGUUGGAGUUACUGAAGGAUUAUGACAUUAGUAUUCAGUAUCAUCCGGCACGGCGAAUGUGGUAGCAGAUGCGUUGAGCAGGAAGUCAGUGCAGAGCCUGACUUUGAGGAUUACUGAGCAGAGACCCCUACUCGAGGAGCUACAGCGGCUGGGACUCGAGAUAGUACCUACCCCCUGGGUCUACGGCGAGGCUGACGUCUCUUUUGUUACAGCCCACUCUAUUGGAUAGGAUCCGAGAGAAACAGAGUGGAGAUCCGUACUUGUUGAGGAUUAGAGAGCAGCUAGACAGGGGGCAGGCUGAGGGAUUUGCUUUGGACGGUUCGGGAGUACUACGGUACAGGGACCGACUGUGUGUGCCUGUGUAUUUUGAGAUUCGAGCAGAUAUUUUGAGAGAGGCUCAUUGCUCCCCUUAUACGGUUCACCCUGGGGGAACCAAGAUGUAUAAGGAUCUUAAGACACGAUUCUCGUGGCCUGGAAUGAAGAGGGACAUUGGCAGAUAUGUGGCUCAGUGUUUGACUUGCCAACAGGUGAAGGCCGAGCAUCAGGUGCCUGCUGGCAAGCUUCAAAGUCUGCCAGUGCCCGAGUGGAAAUGGGAGUGCAUCACGAUGGACUUCGUCGUUGGAUUGCCUAGAGCGCAGGGUGGCUACGACGCGAUUUGGGUGAUAGUGGACAGACUGACCAAGUCUGCUCACUUCCUACCGGUUCAGACUACCUGGUCCAGGGAGAGACUCGCGCAGCUAUACUUGGAUAAGAUCAUUAGGCUGCACGGCGUGCAAGUGUCGAUUGUAUCAGACAGAGACCCGAGGUUUGUAUCCCAGUUUUGGAGGAGUCUUCAGACAGCCUUGGGCACACAGCUGCAUUUUAGCACGGCAUUCCACCCACAGACAGAUGGUCAGUUAGAACGGACCAUACAGACUCUUGAGGACAUGCUGACGGCAUGCGUCCUGGAUUUUGGAGGAGGGUGGUAUCGACAUUUGAGACUGGUUGAGUUUGCGUACAACAACAGCUAUCAAACGAGCAUUCAGAUGGCUCCGUUUGAGGCGUUGUAUGGACGUAGAUGUCGAUCCCUCUAUUUUGGAGCGAUGUGGGUGAGCGUAGGACACUUGGACCGGACAUUCUACGUGAGGCUGAGGAAAAGGUGAGAGUCGUUCGACGACAACUUCUGACAGCACAGAGCCGACAGAGGAGCUACACCGAUACCAGGAGACGAGACUUGGAGUUUCAGGUUGGAGAUCAUGUCUUUCUCAAAGUCUCGUCGUCCAGAGGGAUACGCCGAUUUGGAGUACGUGGAAAGCUUAGUCCACGGUUUGUUGGCCCUUUCGAGGUAUUGGAGCGUAUCGGACCGGUUGCAUACAGGAUAGCUCUACCCCCGCGACUUGCUGGCAUCCACGAUGUUUUCCACGUCUCAGCAUUGAGGAGAUAUGUUUUCGAUCCCUCUCACGUGAUUGACUUCACUCCACUAGAGAUUGGUGAGGAUCUGAGAUACGAGGAGUGCUCGAGAGACGAAAGAAUUGCGCAACCGGGUCAUCCCGUAUGUGAAAGUGCAGUGGAGUAAUCAUGAUGAGCGGGAGGCGAUUUGAGCCUUAGACUGUGAUUAGGGAAGCUAUCCCUAUUUGUUUGAUGGCUAAGCAGAGGACGUUGCAGUUUCUGCGACCAGAAACUUUUUGUAGUGGGGAGGAUGUUGAAUCUCCUGGUGUUUGACUGUGGAGCUGGUCGACACGAUGCUGGAGAGUGUCGGUACAAGUCCGAGUCGGCGCGUUGGCGUCAAAUAGACGCAAAACGGACCGUCGCGUGCAACGCGAGGGCAACUUCAGUGAAGAAAAUUUACAAAUUGUUAGUUUUUCUUGGCUUCUGUAUCGUACAGGCCCAUUAAGUGUACCGUUACACUACUAACUGGCCAUCAGCCCGGGUUGCUCUCCUGGCUCCUGUACCGUACGCGAUCCCGUGUAACCGGUACACCCACGGUGUAGUGAGAGGUGUUGUUCUUUUCUCCCUGUGGUAAUCACCACUCCUCCCUCCUCCUUAUUUACCAUGUGAAGAUAUGAUAGAGGAGUCUCGCUGAAUACUUCCUCUCUCUCACUCUCAGACUCGAAUCAUGAGGCUAGGGAGACUCGGUUGGGAAAUUCGUCGCCAUACGGCAGCCGCGAAGCCAUUCGGAGCACACUUUCGACUCGGUGCUGCAGGAGGUCGGGCGAUUGCGGCUUUUUUCCGCCAUCCCUUGACGUCGGCGAUUUCUAGGUAACAUGUGAAUUGUUUUAAUCUGUGGCAUCUUCCUCCAUACUUCAUUUCCUAUUAACUUCGACUCGGGUGCUACUGCUGCAGAAUUUCUGACGUCGAUAUCGGUAUUUUUGGCUCGUACGCGACGUAGGAGCAUACUGAUUGUGAACGAGAACUUGUAUCGUUUGUGGAUUCGUGACUCGAGAGAAUCUACGAGCCUUACUUUCGAAUUUGUAAGGUUAGCUUGUCGAAAUCACUUCUCUCUCUGCUGCUUGGAUUUUGACUGAUUGAGGAUUUUUGGUGUUUUAGUUUGGAGUUUAGCUCGAAUUUCGAGACUGCGGGCAUUUUUGUGUGAAUCCACAGGUGUUCGCAGCCCGAGGGUUCCGUGCUGGCCAGGGAUUUAGGAAGUGCAGGUGUUACAUCGGUUUGACUCCUAGUCAUAAGCGUAACGACAUGUAUUACUCUCGAUUUUUGAUAAUCAUUAUAGCUCGAAUUUAUGAUUAUAUUGUAGUUACUUGAAAUCUUGAAUUUGGAGCACUUGGUAAUAAAUAGUAGGUUAUACCAUGUGGAACUUGGAAAUGAAAUUAGGAGAAAACCUGCUAUUUGGAACUGUCAGCCUGUUUAACUGCCUGAUUUAGCUCUAGAUCAUUUAUAUAAAUUGUACUUGUGUCUAUUCUCUCAGACAUAUCAGGUAGUUUAGAAAUACAUUUACGCUCGGCUGGCUGAUGCGAGUGGAUUUUUACAGGCUCUUUCAAGGUUGUUUUCCGGACUUUGGUGCCGUUCAGAGUUUGACCGGUGGAGCCCGUAUGAUUUUUUGGCGUCAAUUGUGCCGAGGGCACGUUACUUGUUGGUUGUUAGAGCAGUUUGAGUCGGUCUAACUUGACUUUGCUAUUGAGGACUGAUUGAGCUCGACAGAGAUACGCUGCAAUACUCGGGUUGGGUAGCCGCCCACUGAGUGCCACUGCCGAGACGGGCUUGUGGCUUUCGCUUGGUGUCGCUCAUUGCCAUUGGACUUGCUCAUCCACGGACCAGUUUAUGCUGGAGGUAGCUGGACAGUAGCCAAGGGGCAGGGACGGGGUACAUAACUCACAUCGGGGAUCGGAGUUAUGCUUCAGUCCGAUUACUUGUGUCAUUUUUGACAUUUCCUACAUUGGUUAGCGUAGAGCAGUGAUAUGAAGUGAUUGAUAGCGAUAGAGUGUACUUCCGUGCUUUUUCUACUAUCCUUGCUCCCUUCUUGUGACUUAGUGGGUGACGAUGUGUUUGGCGUACCACUGAGACGUACUGUUUUGCUUGUAGUUCUCAACGCCCAGUUGUUAUCCUUGUUUUGCAGAAGCCACAGAUUUCGCGCUGGCUGCGCCUUCCGUGGAUCAGGAUCGAGGCAAGGGCCGUCGCGAGCUAAGAGCCUACCCGACUGACAAGGCUAUAGCAUCCCCUAACUGCAGGUAGAUUUUUGUCUGAGUAUUAUGUACAUAGGCUUACUUAACACCGCCAGUGCGGGUAACUCUGUAUUUUGGACUUGGAUAUGUAUGAAUCAGUUGUUUAGCUUCUGUUUAUGAGCAGCUCUAUGUAUCUGUUUGUAGUAUUAUAUAUCUACAGGUACUUUGAGCCUUCGUAUACAUGGGGGAAAAGUCCUUUGCAUGUACGGCGGAUUUUCGCGGCCCGGGAACGAGACAUCCGGCGCGUGACAAAAUAAUUUAUAUCAAGAAUCCCUACAGGGUAAAUUUAAUGUUCUUUCCUGAAUUUUUGACGGAGUUCACUUAUCCCUUCAAACUCCAGUAAAAAUAGACCAUCUAUACACUGACUACAAUUCAAUAUUCAUCUCGUUUUACCCCUUCCGUCAUUUCCCGGUUACGGAGCUUGAUGGAAAAUAUGGAAGGGGUAACAUAAUGAAAUAUUAGAUUUUUAGGUUUAGGAUGGUCCAUUUUAGGAGUUCGAGAGGUAAAAUGAAACUUCCCAAAAUUUAGGGAUAAGCAGAGCACAUUUACCUCAAUUUUUUAUAUAAUGGAAUAAUUGAAACAACGUAAAAUGACGGGGUUGUAUUGUUAUUCUAUUUAUAUAACUUAUGAUAUUGAACGUUGGUAUUCCAUAGGUCGAAUCACACGUGCGCCAGUGCGGAGGCGGCGCAAGCGCGGCGCGGGCGGGCGCAGACGUUGCGAGCGGGUGGCGCGGGCGAGUGGACGAGCCGCAGGCAGAACAUUGAGCGGGCAGACGCGCUGUGCAACGCGGCCUCACGGCGCGAGUGCGAGCGGCAGCGCGCGGCGGCUGUGGCGGAGGCGCAGCCGUGCACGGGCGCGCCACAGGAGCGACCGGGGAAAAAAAAAAAAAACUACAGGCGCAGGGCUCACUUCCCCUUUUUGACGCGUCCCAACGAUGUGACGCAUCUCACCCUCUGACCACCUGAGGGAAGAGCAGUGGAUCUCUCUCUCUCCCUCUUUGAGAAUAUAUAUACUUAUAUUAAUAUAAUAUAAUUAAUAUAUAUAUAUAAUAUAUAUAUAUAUAUAUAUAUAUAUAUAUAAUAUAAACAACAUUCACACUCGACACUAUGAAUGGAGCCCACCUUUGUAGUUGUAAAAUUGUAUAGUAAUUAAAUAAUAAAAAUAUUAAACAUUCUCUUGUGUAUCUCAUUUGAUAUAUCACAAACUCACGACGAAAAUGAAUGGGCUCGCGCGCGCAUUAGUGAGAGAAGGAGGAACGGGGAUAUGAGGCGAUGUGUAUAAGCAAAAGAUAGUAGAAGAUAGAAGAAUUGAUGAAUAGAAUUGGAGAUAAAAAAUUAUAAAGUCUAGUGAAGGAAAGGAAAAAUGACCAUAAUGAAUAAUUGAGAUAGAAGAGGAUUAGGAUUGUAAGAUGGUAUGAGAAUUAUUUAAGCAAUACUAAUUGAAUAGUUGUAGUGAAUCGUUUGCAAAUGAAAGUAUAGUGAGGUAAUGGAAAGGCUAAUGAUAAUGUAGAUACAAACGAUAGAAUGAGUAGAUGAUAGUAAAUCAUUUAAAAUUAUUAUAUAUAUUUGAAAGUUUUGUUUAGUGAACCGUUAAAAGUCAAUUGAAGUGUAAGUGAGGGGAAGAAAAGAUCAAGAGUGACCAGUGAAGGGAAGAAAUUAAAACUGCCAUGUGCGGAACAAACAUUGGAAUUCAUGUAGUUAAAUAGUAUAUAAUAAUAUAUAGUAUAUAUAUAUUAUAUAUAUAUUAAGUAUAUAUAUAAUAUUGAGAAUCAACAAAAAGAUAGUAUUUUUACUUUAAUUAAUUUUUUUAUUUUUUUUAUUUGUAAGUUCUACACAGAUAAUAAUAAAAAAAUAUUAUGUACUUUUUAAAUAUUACAAUGAGCUUUUUAUUUAUUUUAAACCGGUUUAUUUAUUUUAGACCCACUUAUAUCUCUCUCUCUCUUUUGUUUUUUUUUUUUUUCUAACCCUUCUUAUUUUAGAGUGGUAUUGACCACAUACAAAAUAUAAAUUUAAAUUUAAAUUUAAACUUUAUUAUUAAUGAUUUUUGAAUGCGUUGCUUAGCUUUAUAUAUUUAGUUAGUAAAUUUUAUGUAAUUGUUGUAAUUAAAUAUAUUUUUUAAAAAAUUUAAUUGUAGUGUUUUUAUAAAAAUGGAUUAUUUAUAUCUAAAUAAUUAUAAAAUUAAAAUUAAUAUUUAAUACAUACAAUCUAAAAUAUUUAAAAAUUAUGCAUAAAUAAUUAUACAUUUUAAAGUUUUAUUAUAAUUAAAACACAAACUUAUGAAUUUACAAUCUGAACCCGAACAGGUGUUAAGAUCAGCAUUAUUAUUUGUAAUCAAAACUUGCAUAUUUGAUACAAUUGAUCGUAUGUGAAAAUGUUUUUAAAACUUUCUUAUUUAAUUAACUAAAAUGUAUUAUUAUUUACUUUAUAAAAAAUAUAUUUAAUUAUUUAUUAAUUAUUUAAAAAUAAGAUAAAUGAAUCCGUUGCGUAGCACGAGUUCCUUAACUAGUUAUUAUUAUUAUUUUGAGAGCUAAAAAGGUUCGGCCUUUGUGAGUUCUUGGUGUUGGAUUAAUAAUGUGAAUAGGGCUUUUUCCAAUAAGAUCGAACUUUCUAGCCCUUUUUACAUUUUUAUUGAAAUUAAUAAAUUAAUGUCUUGAAAUGAGAAAAUUGAACUUUGGGUUUCUUUUGUGAGAUGAUUUUCUAUCCUUUGGUUCUUUUUUUCAGUUAAAUAUUAUUUUCUAGUUCAUUUGAAUAAUAGUUUGCUAAGUUACAUGGUAUUAAUCUUAAUCUUGAACUAGAGAUACUUAGCAGGGUAUUAAUCUUAAUCUUGAACUAGAGAAUAUAUAUAUAAUAGAUUAUUUAGUUUAGUACGUAGUUGCAGUAAACAAUAUUCCUUUAAUUCAAAUGCACCUUGAUUAAUCCCAUUUUAACCCGUACCUGUAGCUAUACAUUAUGUCCUUCACUAACCUAAAAUUAAUCAGUUCUUUUUUAAUUCUUCUGAAAAUUCUAUAAAUCAUACAUAGCUGGUAUUAACUGAAAUUUAAGGGAAAAAACUGAGUUUUCAUAAUUUUUAAAAUGAACCGUAAAUUUUCCUAUGUUGAGUGAUUAUGUGGAUUGUUGUACUCCAUUUUCAAUGCUCCUUUGAUUGCGUCUGAUGACUAGAUGCCUAAGUACUGCUUCAUCUCAAAAUUACUAUGUUCAUUGUCUUUUCUUCUAAAAUUUUCAGCUUCUUCAAUUUUAGAUUUUUGAUAUUUCUAUGUGUAUAUAUAUUGACUGAAACAAUAUUUAUUCACGGUGACACGAACUCUAUGCUAGUGUAUAUAAAAACACUUGCCCCAUAUGUUUGCUUCUAGUAGAGACGACAACUGCACAAGUUUGACUGAUACUUGGAUCUAGAGGGAACCACCUAUAGGGAUGUCAAUGGUAUGGAUAUAUGAAAUUUAAUCCGAACCCGAAUCCGAAUGAAACGGAUAUAUUCGAUACUAAAUGGAUAUGGAUUCGGAUAUGAAUAUCAAAAAUAGAAAUCCGACUGAUAUGGAUUCGGAUAUGAAUUUUGACUGUACCCGAUCCAAAUCCGAACCCGACCCGAACUUAUUGAUUUUGAGUCCCUUCGAUCACUGGGCAAAUGAUAUCGAAAAAUCAUAAAAUUUAUUUUCUAUGUACUUCAAAUACUCUAGAUCAAGUUUAACGGAGCAGAUCGACGGUUCGAAAGUUGCAACAUCGAAGACGACCUGGAAGCACGGAAGGCUCCGUGCUUCCAGAAGCAUAGUAGCCUCACUCUAUAUAUAUAUAUAUAUAUAUAUAUAUAUAUAGAGUAUAAAUACUAUGCAUACUACGCGGUAUAUAAGUAGCGAAUAUAUAUAUAUAGAGUCCCGCCGGCUAUACUGCAUACUUGGUAGCACGGAGCGCUUCGUGGGCUACCAAGUUGUUUUCGAUGAUGCGGCUUCCAAAUCGAUGAUGCGCUCCGUUAGACUUGAUCUACACCAUUGAAAGUAUUUGGAAACUAAAUUUCAGAUUUUUUCGACAUCUUGACUAGUGAUCAAAAGAUCUCAAAAUUGACAAUUUUAAUGGCUGAUGUGGUGUGUUUGUGAGUUUAACGGUGUAAAACAAUCCAAAUGCGAUGAAAAUUUUAUAGAAAAUUUUUUUCACUAUUUAGAGUAAGAUCAGUAUAUCUGAUCUUGAAUUUAAAUCUUUUAUCAUUAUUUUUAUGAGAUUUUUAUUUUCAGCCGUCAAUUUAGACUACUUGUUUGAUAGGUAAAUGAUAUCGAAAAAUUAUGAAAUUUAGUUCUUAAUGCUUUUAAUAGUGUAGAUCAAGUCUAACGGAGCCGAUCAUUGAUUGGAAGCCGAUCAUCGAAAACAACUUGGAAGCACGGAGCGCUCCGUGCUACCGAUAAAUAGUAGCCUAGUUCUAUAUAUAUAUAUAUAUUGUCAUGCCCGGGGUCCUUUUUAGUUUGGAAAAACAGCAGAAACGACUAAAAUUUUUUUUUGAAACACCUGACCCCAGAGUAUGUCAGAUCCGCCACAAAUUCAGGGAAUCCACUGUUCACACGGACAGAGUCUCCCCGUAUUUGCACGGCGUCGCACAAGUACAAUUAUACAACCAGAGUACAACCAGAAUACAACCACAACCAUAUGAACAUACAACCUCACCGCACAUACAGACGUCCAUACAUUCACCAUUCACAACACGACGGUAUUCAGUUUUAAACAUAAAUCCAGAUCUAUCAUUUGAAACUUUCCUACCCGGAAACAAGUUUUGAAAUACUAAGUCUCAGAAAUCCAUUGGAAGCUUCUGUUAGACUGUUUUCCACACGGAAACCUUAUCUUUUAAAACACUACCACGAGGGGUAGAAACCAUUGAAAACGUAUCGAAUAUAAAAACCCUUUUCUUUUUAAAACAAGCGCUACCACGAGGGGUAGAAAAUCAUUUUACUUUGAAAAGCCCAUAAAUCUCUUUUUAUCACAAUACGUAAAGCCAGCGAAAAACACAUUACGCAAGUACAGAAAUGAAACUGAACCAUAAAUAAAGUUUACUAUUUAUUCAAGCAGAGGAAAAGAGAUAACCAAACGGGACGGAGCUCUAACGCGCGCUAACUCGUCCUCACCUGUCGUCCGCACUCGGACCUGCGACGUCACACUGUAAUGGGGGCGGGGGUGAGAACAUUGUAAACAUGUCUCCCCCCAGUGGGUACCGCGAGCCGACGAGGGCGAGGGUACGCACCAGCAAAGGAGGCUAAACAACAGUAAGGGUAACAACUACAGUAGCUACUAUGAUAUAAGAACAGAAAGUACAAGUAAGGAACUAAUGUCAAGUAAUGAACUAUUGCUACUGUAUGUAUGCAUCAACUGGUGGAUAGUCCAAGAUACCCAAUCUAAACCUGCCUUGUUGGUCCGGAGACCUCAGGCUUAAUGCCGACAAUCACUCAACCUGUCAUAACCCAGUCGUAACUCUGACUCACGGGUGGGCAAGCCCAACCACUUUUCCGGAAAAGAACACCCCCUGCGGUGGAUCAGACGCUGGUGUCGUGAAAUGCGAACGAGUGGUGACGAUCGAUGCUGAUAUGCUCAAUAGCCAACCGUGCGGCAACCAGCCGACAAUCACUGCCGCCUCUGGCAUACCGAGCCGAUAGGUCAUCAGUAACAACGUGGAACGCCGACCGAUAGUAGGUCAAUGUACGAAAGUAACAAACGACAAAGACAGUCCACAGAGAACAGGAGAACCGACCAACCAGGUCACAGGUAUAGUAUAUACGAAUGCCAUCUACUCUACCCCUACACGAGAAUACUACGCAUAGGACAAGCGGGCAGAGUAAAUAAAGACAGUAUGGUGCAAGGCUCAAAAUGUAAAGAGUAAGCAAUAUGACUAGACGAUGUAAAAGAUAGCGGUAAAGGAAGACAUCACCGAGCGUGCACCACUGUACGACUUUCGGAUCGAAGUACCCACCUGUAUAAACUGAAACGGUCUCGCGAAGGCGGAGACGAAGCGACGACCUACGAAGGGUCCACGCGGUUAGAGUCUAACCCAAAACACAAUAACACACCAUUCUCCACACCAAAUCCCAAAAUCAUAACCCUCGAGAAUCGGUUUUCAAACGCAACUUCCGAACCAGCCGGAAGUCCCGGAAACCGACCGGAACUCCACCGUCGCUCACCCGUCGUUUCUGAAACCCUCGAGACGACACGGUGUGACCAGCCAACAAGGCUCAGCGACGCAACAAUCAACCACGAGGCACCGUCGGAGGAAUUCCGAGUCGAACACGGCGUUCUAUCGGGCGGAGUUCGCCGAAAAACGCUCCGAAAUGACAGUUAGAUUUCCGCAAGGGCUUGGGGCCUUGGACGAUCAGUCCAGAGGUUAUCUUAUAGCCUUAAUCCUCAGCCAAUAGCAGCCACGACGAAGCGAACGCCAAAGGAUCCCUAAUGGCGCCAUGACAAUCACAUACUUUUAUGUGAUUUCAUGGCUCUAACGGCAGUACAGCGAAACCAGGAUCUAACGGAGGUUGCCAUCGCUACUUGCUGCAGUUUCGCGACGCCUGAGGUCGUGCUCGCCCUUUCGGAGCGAUGCAGGCAGCACACGCGCGACGAGCGACCGAACCUCACGCGACUCAGUGUCGCACACUGUGUUGAAAACAGCCUCUUUCUUUUAUUACUAACCAGGGCGUCAUUGGCCUAAUGGAGGUGGAUCAGUGUUCUUCAGCACGAGACCCGUACGGAUCACCGUGCUCACCUCCCGAGGUGCAGUGGAGUCAUCGGUAUCACCGGAAGGGUGACCGUAACGUUAAACAGGCUAGCCGUUUGGAACCAAAUAGACUAUCUGGCACGCGAGUUGUGGGAGCUUAGGAUGCCCCGGCGAUCGGACGGCGGCGCCUCCGGCGGGGAUGAGGAGCAGCUGGUCGGGGAGGUCCGGGGGAGUGUGCUGGCCGGGCGGCGGGCAGCAGCCGGUGGGCUGGGGGCGCGGAGAAUCGGGCCCGCACACUUCCUCUCGGGUUGAGGUUGCCGGCGGGGAGGUCGCGGACCGGGGGAGGUCGCGCGGCGAUAGAUCGGUGCGGAGACGAGGAGGAAGUUGCAUGCGUCAGCCUGCGGAGGCAAUUGCGCUGCCAUAGGUCGGGCCGCGCACCAAAAAACUGGCGCGGCGGGCGGGAAGCCAGCGGCGGCCGGCGGCGUGCGAGGGACGGGGGAUGCACGGCGUCGCGGGUGGUCGGGACGGAGCCAGAUGGAAGGCACCGGCCCGAAGAAGGUGGCAUCGCCCGCAAUCCCGCUCGCCUGGCUCGGUUUGGGCUGACCGGAGCGGCGGCCGCCAAGCUUCCGUCCGGGGCUCGGCGGACGUCGGGGGGUGGCCGGAGCUUGGAGGAGAGGCACGGCCUGAGGUGGAAGGAGGCCGGGGCCUCGGCUUCCAGACGGCCGGGGGGAGAACCCUCCCACAAGCCCUCGGUCUAGAGAUCGGAUGAGGAGGUGGUCGAGGAGAGGAGGAAGCGCUGGCUGCAGGCGUUCCGGGCCGGUGCUUAGGCGGCGCGCCGGAACGGAGCACUCGGCAGGAAGUGUGGGUGCAGGCGGCGUGGGGUUCUAGGCGUUUAGGGUUGGCUCCAAUAAAACCCUAGAUCCACUAUAUUGAAAGGUAUGGAAAUUGCGAAAAGCCCCCUCGAAACGGAAUCGAAUGUAAUCCCAGCUCUUCAACCACAGCGCCAAUGCGCGAUAGUCGCCUCUGAGUUCUAAGAGACUCGCCAAUUUCGAUGCUGAAAAUAUGGGCCUUUUCACGACAUGAUUAGCAUUCUCAGAUCAGGCCCCGCUGUCGCUGACUUUCGCGGAUUCCCGGAAGUCGGUCCGUCGGAUUUCGUUCGAAUCACACCAGCGGAUCAGCAUGGACAGAGGCAUUGAGGAUGGAGCAUUUCGUUUCACCGAAAGGGUUUCCGGAUUCUAGAAGACGAGAAACCGAUGGUCCCUCCAAUGUUCCACAAAAGCCCCGCAUAUUAGGACGAUAUAUGCGCAAAGAAGACCGUAUUGAACCCUUUGCUUCUCGAAAGUCGUGCGAUCCAAAUCCAUGUCCGUUAGAGUGGCCGAUGGGUCCCAGGAUAGGGUCGGCGGUUGAAAAUAGUAUGUUAGAGAGCUAUUAUUCGGAGUCGAUACGCGUCGAAAGUCCACUCGUACUCCGGGCCUUUCCGGCGGAAAAGCGGAGCUACUAUCACUUAAGUGCAAACUUGCUGAGGUCACGUAACUUCUCCGGUUUUAAUCGUUUUCUCCUGAAUCUGACGAGGGUACAUGGUAUAGAUAUAUUACACAAGAAGAACAUCGUCAACAUAGGAGGUGGUUAGACAAUAAAUCAAAAAAUCGUCAGUUAGUUUAGAAACUGAAUAUAUUCAUAGUUGAGCCUAGAGAUACUGAUCGGGUAGUAAACAAGGCAUUUUACUACCGAUUUGAUUUCGGGGAUGAUAGCAACUUCCAAGAUUGACGAGUCGGCUUUCGGUUGAGGUAUGAUCUAUACCACUUUGAAGUGUUUAGAAAUCAAGAUUUAAAUGUCUUUUUCGACAUCAGUUUGCCCUAUGAGUUGCAAAAGGCGCUGUCAAAAGGUUUGUGAGUUUUACAAGGCUCGAUAAGAGGCGUGUUUCUUUGUUUAAACGCGGGUAAAAGAUAUCCAGAAGAUCUAAUGGGAAUGGUUUGUUCAGAAAAGUUCUUUCAAACUAUCUUAAAACAAGAUCUAUACUCUUGAUCUUGAUUACAAGACUCCUAUCAUCAUUUUUUAAAGAGUAUUCAUUUUCGGCCAUUCAUUUUUCUGUUCACUUGAUGGAUAAAAGAACAAUAUCGAAAGUGCGUGAAAUUUGAUUUCUGGGUAGUUUGAAUGGUUUAGAUCAUAUUUAACGGAGCCGAUCGUCAAUUUGGAAGCUCUAUCAUCGAAAAUAAAUUGGUAGUAAAACGGCUCGUUUACUACCGAUAGUAUUCUAGCUCAACUAUAUAUAUAUAUAUAUAUAUAUAUAUAUAUAUAGUCCGGCUGGGAUACUAUCGAUAUCACCAAGCGUUUGGUGCUAUCAAGUUUUUCGUCGUUAGAUUUAACCCUUGACUAUUUUUACCCGUUAGAUUAUAUUAUUAAAUCAAUAACUCACUCAACCCUAGGGGGCUCACAUCAUCAUAAUCGUACAUUUUUUCAUCCAAGAGCCAAAAACCUAAUAGCACCAACAGUUUGGUACUAUUGAUAGCAUUCCAACCUAGUUCUAUAUAUAUACAGAGCUAGGCUGGUAUACUAUCGGUAGCACAGAGGCCUCCGUGUUACCAAGUUGUUUUUAAUGAUGCGGCUUCCAAAUCGACGAUCGGUUCCGUUAGAUUUGAUCUACACUAUUAAAAUAAAGUAUUUGAAAGCUAAAUUUCAUAAUUUUUAUGCAUCAUUUACCUAUCAAACGAGCAGUCAAAAAAUGAACGGCUUAAAAUAAAAAUCUCAUAAAAAAUGAUGAUAAACGACCUGAAUUUAAGAUCAGAUGUGCUAAUCUUACUCUAAAUAGUGAAAAGAAUUUUCUAUAAAAAUUUCAUCAGAUUUGGAUUAUUUUACACCGUUAAAUUGAUAAACGCAUCACAUUUACCAUUAAAAUUGUUAAUUUUGAAACCUUUUGAUCACUAGCCAAAUGAUGCCGAAAAAUUAUGAAAUUUAGUUUUCAAAUACUUUUAGUAGUGUAGAUCAAAUCUAACGGAGCCGAUCGUCCGUGCUACCAAGUUGUUUUCAAUGAUGACGCUUCCAAAUCGACGAUCGGCUCCAUUAGACUUGAUGUACACUAUUAAAAAUAUUUGGAAACUAAAUUUCAUAAUUUUUCGACAUUAUUUAGCUAGUGAUCAAAAGGUCUCAAAAUUGAUAAUUUUAAUGGUAGAUGUGAUGCAUUUGUAAAUUUAACGGUAUAAAACAAUCCAAAUCAGAUGAUAUUUUUAUAAAAAAUUCUUUUUACUAUUUAGAGUAAGAUCAGUACCUCUGAUCUUAAAUUCAAGUCUUCUAUCAUUAUUUUUUAUGCGGCCACGCGGCUGGGGCGCUCGAGGUGACGACGGCGCGCAGGUCCCAAAUGGCGGUAGGGGAGUACCUCGGGGGCGGCCCGAGCGAGCGAUGGCAGAGCAGAAGAAUUACGAGCUCGGCUCCGACCGAGCUGCAGGGAACCGCAGGCACGGCUGCAUGCGCCGGCCUGGCGGCGCUCGGGACGGCUCGGGGAGGCAAGAGACAGACAAACAAGGUCGUUAGGGAGGUGCCACGGUGGCCUCAGGUGGUGCGCGCGGGGAAGAGGUCUGACAGACCUGCUGCAGCCCGGGCUCGGUCGGAAGGCAGCAGGGCGGUUGGUGCGGCCGCGGCUGGCGCUCCGGAACGACUCAGAUGCGGCGGUUCGAUUGAACCGAAGUCGAGGAGGCUGCCUCUAUGUUGGCCCGGCGGCGACGGCGACGCAACGGGAGCGCCGCGCACAGCUGGAGAAGCCCGAGUCGGCUGGAGGUGGCGCAGGGCUGUAGAAUCAAGCUAGCGGCGCGUGGUAACGGCGGCAGGCGACCGACGCCGGGGGAAGCUCGAUGGGGUCAGGACGACUGGGGCAGAGCCUGGAGGCCAACCCAGUCUCGCGGCUCCUCUGCAACCUGAGGAAAAGAGGAGAGAGAGGCAGAGAGAUGGCAGAGUGAAAAGGUGAGGGCAGGCUGGCGGGCCGACCGGGCGGGACUUGGUCAGCGGCGACCGGGGGCACGCGGUAAGGCAGGGGCAGGGUGAAGGUGGCUGGGGGGCAGAGGGAACUAGGGUUAGCGGUUUCCAAGCAGACCACCUAACGCAAAAUAUAUAUGUAAGUGUAUUUUUGCGAAAAGUCUGCAACUUCAACAAUUUAAAUCCUCAGUCCUCAACAGCAUGAGUAAAACGUCAAAGACCCCUCACGUGCGAGUUAUCACGCGAACGGUAACAUAAAAUGUCGCGGACUUUUGCGAAAUUAUCCGUUUUGCCACACGACCUCUCCGCGAUCAACGGUGCCAAUCUCGCGUGAAGAUCGUCUGUCCGAUUUACGUUGAACAGAUCGCGCCAGUGCGAUCAGUACCUCGCGAGACAAUAAGGCUGCGGAGUUUGUGUUCACUCAAACGGUCAGCGGAUUCACGACGAAAUGCGCUUUUUCUCAAAUAGGCCAAAUAUGACGCACACAUUGACAUAUAAACAUGUAUUUUCUAUAUUUUUCUCAAAAUCCGUGCGUCAAACUCAAAAUCCGUCGUGACCAUUGUUCCAGAAUAAGCUGAAACCAGUCGAAACAUCUAUUGGAUUGCACUAUGAACGGAGUCCGCUAUACGCACCAGAGCCAAACUCCGUACUCGUGGCCUUCUCCGGAAAACCGGAGGUUACUAUUAUUAAGUGAAACCUAAAAUCGGCGUAUCUUCUCCAUUUUAGCCCUCAGUUUCUCCUGAACUGAUGAGUGCUUAUGUAAUUAAAUGGACACACAUAAACAUCGUCAACGGAGAGUUAGUUGCAUGUUCAAAAUGCAGUCCUUAGACGUUAGACUUAUCUAGAGCUAUUUGAAGUUUUGGAGAAAUAAACUUAUGCGAUUUUUCAGAUAUCAUUUGCUUAGUGAUCUGAAGUUGGCUCAAAAUCAUACGGCUGAAAAUAAAAUCAUACAAAUAUGAUUGUAUGGCGAUUAAAUUUUAGAUCAAAGUUUAUUGAUCUUUUGUUAUAUACGGUUUUAAGAAUUUUCUAUCAACAAUUUCAUGUGAUUUGAAUAUUUCUCACUUUAAACUUUGCAAACGGUCACCCGUCCGUUAAAUUAUUGAUUUUGAGCUUCAUCACUAGCACAGAUAUGCGAAAAUCAACAAAAAUUUAUUUUUCUAGCGUACUGUCAAUACUCUAGAUUCAACUAUUAACGCAGCGAUCGCUCGAUUCGAACAAGUCCCGAAUAUCGAAAAAACUUGGAGUACUGGAGCGGUUCCGUACUUCAGAAGACAUCCAGCACACUAUAGUAAUAUAUACUAUAUAUAUAUUAUUAUAGAGAGAGAGAGAUGGAGAGAGGAUGAAGAGUGAGAUGAGAAGAGAGAGGUUAGAAGAUUUUCUAAAUCUUGCUCUCCAGUCUCUUGUAUUUUCACGUUGAGCAGAUUGGCCCCAUAAUUCUCGCAUAGAAGGAGAGAGAGAUAGGCUGGUUACUAUACGUAGAGCGUGGGCCUCCGUGCUACCAAGUUGUUUUUCAAUGAUGCGGCCUUCCAAAUCGGAUGAUCGCUUCUGUUAGAUUUGAUCUACACUAUUGAAAUAUUUAGAAAUAUUUGUAUAUUUUUUGAACAUAAUUUCUUAUCAAAGAGAGUAGUCUAAAAUGAAUAAAAUAACGGGCUAAAAAUUAAAUUCUNNNNNNNNNNNNNNNNNNNNNNNNNNNNNNNNNNNNNNNNNNNNNNNNNNNNNNNNNNNNNNNNNNNNNNNNNNNNNNNNNNNNNNNNNNNNNNNNNNNNUAUAGAUAGUAAUAUUAUUAUUAUGAUAUAUAAUAUUAUAAUUAUAGUAUAUAUAUAUAGAUUUAUAGAUAAUAUAUUAUAUAUAGAUAUAUUAUAUUAUAUUAUUAUAGUAUAUAUAGUUUCAAUAAUCUCUCUAAUAAAACUAUAAAAUAUGCUUGCUUUUAUCUUUUUGAAAUCACAAAAACAUAUUUGUAACAUUAACAGUAGGAUUAUUGUUGAUAUAUUUUUUAUUAUAGAGAUCUGCAAACCUUUCACUUUGAUGGUCAUAAUUUUUAGAGUUACAGAACCAAAUUGAAGGUCUGCCACGCGACACUUAGCUGGUUUCUGCUAUCUGUUCUGGAUGGUUUUUCGAGUAUGGCAAUAUAAUGGACUGCUCUAAUUAUAUGCGAACCGAGUACUCUGUCAAUAACCGAUUACUCGAAUGGCUAAUGCUCCAGGGCUGAUCUACACUGCCUCCUCUCCACUGAAACUUAUCAAACUAUACUUAACAUCUAAGAACGACCUGCCUGUUGACUCCUUUACAUGAUCAACUACCUAUCUGAACCGAAUUCCUUUAUACCGGUGCUAUCUGAUGAAUUGGUAUGAUAUUAUCUGUAUUGCUACGUAAGGCGUGAGCUUUGAUAUCCUUAGAAAAUAAUUGGUAAUUACGGUCAAUUGAUCCUACCAGUAAUGAGAUAUCAGGCGUCCUGAAUCUAAAUUAAAUUUAAUGUGGUGAAAUUUAAUAGUCCAAUGUCUGACUAGCUUCAUGAUUUUGAGCACAAUAGUGAUGCAGGCUAGAUCUAGUGGUGUAGACUUGAUGAAGUUUGCUUAUUGCUCGCCUUAUUAGAUAUAGUGUCCUACCUCUCUAGCGAGACAGAAUUUAGAUUCUAACGAAGUCAAGUGUAGUGUGUUUUGAUGUUCCCGUGAAGUGUGAUUAUUUUCUGUGUUGUUUGUUUUGACGUAACUCGGUACUCACUGGAAAGUUAAAUUUCAAUACUGUCGCUUGUUUGUUUUGAUGUAACUUUGGGUGCUGGUAAAAUCGUAGUUUUUGAGUUCCUGUUUGUUUUGAUUUAAUGUAAGUUGGAUCGUCCUCAAUUUAUCCCUAAAUAUAGAUAAUAAAUUUAUCACUUAUAUUAAAUUUAAACCUAUUAUAUAAUAAAGUUUUUUAUUAUUUAUUGCUUAAAGUAAUUCUUAAAUUUAUUAGUAGCAAUUAAAGAAUUCUAACCCAUUAUAAGAAGCUAGAGUGUUAGAUUUACUGUUGAAUAAAUUGUUUUUAGAAAGUUUUGAGUGUGGUUGAUUAGUCGAGUUCGUUACUGUUAGGAGCGGAAGUCGAGAGUAGUUAAUGAUCUCUAACUUAUACUUGAGUUAAUUAUUAUUUUCACUUACAACCGAUAACAAAUAACGUUGGACGUUGAUGGACACUUGAGUGUCCAUCACUCCAACUUUAACAUCCAAGACAAAACGGCGGCCCUUUAGUCGAACCCAUGUACAGACGACUAAUUCGCACAAUUAGAGGAGCUAAUUCGCCUAAAAUUAUUCUCUAAGAAUCGAAGGAUAGAGAUUCAUACUCGAGUCUAGGAUAAGCAAUCUCAGUGAACGUCUAUUCAACCUCAAGCCAAUCUAGGUAGAAAGAGAGAAGAAAAAUAAAGAACAAGAAGAGAUAAAGGAAAAAUCCUAAAAAAGUAAGGUAAAAACUUACACCUCAUAGGAACUUAAGAAGAACCUUUCCACCCGUAAGAAAGGUGCAACCGAACUUAUAAGAAAGCGUCUAAACCUGAGGAAAUGAAGGCAACGUCUGGUUGCUGUGUUGGGAAGAUGAUAUUCCACUUGCGAAAGGAUUGCUUACUUAUUCCGCAAAGAUCUGCGAGCUUCUGUAUUCCAAAGAUACAAGAACGAAGCUCCACCUGAGCGCCUCCAGAUAUAUAUGCCCUGACUGUGGAAGGUCGACUCUCAUGACUCGCACUAUUCGCUCACGUUUUGCCCCGGGGUCCUUUUAGUUUAUAUAACUAGCGGAAAAGGCGUCUGAAAAAUUUUUUUUUGAAAAUGCCUGACCCCCAGAGUAUGCCAGAUGCCGCCAGCAUAAAGCACAGAAUCACUGUUCACCACAACGGUACAGGAGCUCCCCUUAUUUGCACGCGUCACACAAGUACAUAGAAUAACCCAGGACAAUACACAAACCAAAUGAACAUACAAAUAUACAAAACAAUUAUAUAAUUCAUACACAUCACAUCAACAUGUUCAAAUUUAUAUAGUCGAUCAUUAAAACAUAAAUUCACGAUUCUAUCAGUUAAAAUCGUUUCCAAUCACAGAAACGGUUUUGAAAUACUCAAGAUGCAAAAUCACCAGAAAAACUUUGAAAACUGUUAUCCUACAACGAAACCUUUAUUCUUUAAAAAACGCUACACGAGGGUAGAGAAAACGCUUUUUAUUUGUACAGAACCAGAAAUCCCGUUAUUACACUUCACGAUAAAUCCAUAUAUUCAAAAUGUAAUAUGAAUAUACUGAACCAUAAAUACUACUAGAGCAUAACAACUGAAAUAUAAGGUAAUAACUAUACUACCGAAAUAACCUGGGUCGGAAGCCGCUCUAAUCGACCGCUACACAGCGUACCUCACGUCUGCGUCCACUAACUCAUACGCCGGAUAACCUGAAAAAUGUGGGAGGUAAACAGUAAUACAUGUCCCCCCUCGCCAGUGGGUACCGCAAGCCGAUGAAGCGAGGAGUAACUCAACCGAUCCAGGAUAAACUAAAACAACAGUACGGGUCAGUAGAAAAUACAGUACAAGAAUAAUAAAUGAAAGAGACAUAUAUAUGAAAGAAAGUACAACAUCGGCUACUGGCAAGAACAACUGAGCUGUAUACAUGUAACAAAGACCUAUAUAGCAAACAAUGUAACGAAAGAACUAACAAGUCAUGUAUGAAUCAACUCACUAAACUAUAGAUAUAUACUGCAACAAUCGGACAAUUAGUCCAACAGACCGCCAAUCUAAACCGCCGUGUCGUCUAGAUGGACACCCCUUCAGGCAAAGCCACAACGCUGCUCGCACCUUGGCAUGUAACGGCUGCUAGCACAAUAGAGAUACACCGCUGGCUCUACACGGUCCGGAUGUACGACCACUUUUCCGAAAAAGAACACCUCCUUGCGGGGUAUCAACCCCUGGUGUACGUAAAUCCGGCACUCCGAGCUUGGGCGACAAAUGCAGAAUAUGAUCAAUAGCCAGCCAAACGUCGCGGCAACCAGCCGAACAACCACCGCCCCCGGAGGCAGAACCGACCCAAGGUCAUCAAACCUAUAUAAAGCACAAGAAGCCGCCGCACUACUCAGGUCACACUAAGAGGGAACUCACUCAACAUCCUACCGAAGGUACUACAAUGUCCAACUAACAUAUAUGCAACGACAACCGACGAAUAGGGUUCACCAGCAGAAGUAUAACAAUAGACAUCCCGAAUUACGUCGGCCACUAGGCCGACAAUCCAACCCCUCAGGGUAUACCGAGCCUCAUAGUCAUCAAAACACAGACUCACGAAGCUGACUGAACCAGCGUGCACAAAUAGCAAAAAUAGUGAACUGUGUAAACUAUAAUCAAUCCCCGGUGCCCUAACGCGACAAUCCCACCCUAAGUGUAUUACCGACUCAAAGGUCAAUCGAACGAUGUACGAGAAGCGACAAGUCAGGUCACAACGCAAACGAAUACGAGAACGCGACCAAACCAGGUCAAUAGAUACGGAAUGCGCAACCACACCACGACCACUAAGUCCAACAGAUACUCGGAAUGCCAAGCAACAACUGCAAACUAGUCAACAGAUAACCACUAUAGAUAGAACCGCGCACUCCUAACGCAGGAUACUAAGCAUGCAAACAACAUAUGUAUAACGAAUAAACAAGGGUGCAAGCUCAAUAUACUGAUGGCGAUAGAACAACAUAAAAGUAAGGGUAAGAAACCAUCACCAAGCGUGCACCACUGUACCGACGUCGGGUCGAAGUACCCACCUGUACAACUGUCGCGCCUGUCUCCUGACUGCAAAAGAACGUCAACAGGACCGGCCAGGGCAGAGCUAGGGCUGGCCGCCGGCGGCCGGACGGCGAGCGCUUCGGCCGGAGGUGGGAGCAGAUGGUCCAAGGGGUCUGGGGAACCUACUGGCCGGCGGCGGGAGGCGGCCGGUGGCGCGGCGGAAGAGAUCAAUUCCUCCAAGUGGCUCUCGGGUUCAACGCUUCCCGGCGGCGCGGCCCCGGCCCGGCGGCGGGGAGGUCGGCACCGACGGGCGACGACGAUCCUUUCGCGGAGCCGGGGAAGGGUGGUCUCCGCGGUGCGGGCCUGCAGCGCGACAGCGCGAUUGGAGGAAGCCAGCCCGGCCGCCACCAAGUCUGGGCGGCUUGAAGAGCUUCAGGCGGCGGGCCGGCGGUGGUCGGGGACGCGGGAAACACGGCGCGUGAGGUCGACGACAGAAGAGGAGCGGGCGCGGACCGCCUCGGAGGCCGGCCUGCCAGCUCGCGCCGCCACGGUUGACUCGAGCUCGGCCCGAGCAUGGUGCAGCAUGAUUGCCGCAGAUGCGUCCCGACGCGCGCGGCGCGUGCGGACGCCGACGGAUGCAGGGAGCGGCGCCGCUGGAGAUUCGGAAAGGGUGUCAUCCAUCCAAGCGGAUAGGAGGCGACGAGGAGGAGAUUCACAACCUCGGCACUGUACCAGUUGGCCCCAUCCUGCGCGGCGGACGUGCGCGCUCCGGGCGGCCGGGCGCUGAUGAUGCUGGAGAAGGCGUCUCGACCAGAGGUUCAAGUCUCGACAGGGAUGGUCACCCCUCGAGCUCAAAGACAAAGAAGUCAUGGUGCUAGUGGAGAUAUGUUAGAGGAGAGGCCGAUCCGCGUGUUCCCGGCGGCCGUGGGAAGUCGCCGCGCCGGGGCCGCUCCCUUGCUAGGCAUGACCUGUAGAUGCGGCUAGGCGCACAGCUGGCGCUGGUUAGUAGAUCUAGUUUCGUGCAGAGAAACCUAGAUACAUGUAUACAAAGUGCAUUUGCACAAAUCCACCGAACUACAAAUUUCAACCCUAGUCUUCACCAAUGGGUAAUACCGCGCUUUUGCCACUCCACAAUCAUCUCCGCAUUUCGUACAUAAAAUAUAUACGACUUUUGGCGAAUUUCCCGAUUUCCACUCUCGAACCCUUAUGCGAGACUUAUUGCAAUUCCCAAGAGAUCCAUCCAUCGACGAUUUCCGAACGGAUCACAGCCAACGCGUUCAGCACGUCGAGGCAUCGAAUCUAGCAUUUCGUUUCGUCCGAUUUGAUCUCCGAUUCACGACGAAAUCCAUUCUCUCUCCAAAAGGCCAAAAUGAUGCACAAUUACAUAAGAAACAUGUAUUUUCAGAUUUUCUCGAAAACCGUGCAUCAGAUCUAAAAUCCGUCAGCGCCAGUAGUUCCAGAAUAGCUGAACCAGUUGAAACGAGCUAUUGGAUCGCUAUGAAUGGAGUCUGAUACGCGUAGAAAGCCAACUCUACUCCGUGGCUUCACCGAAAAACCGGAGUUACUAUUCACUUAAGUGAAAACUAAUAAUCGCGUAACUUCUCCGUUUUAGCUCAUUUUCUCCUGAAACUUGACGAGUGCUUAUAUAGUUAAAUUACACACAUAAACAUCAUCAACAGAGAGUUUAGUAGCACUGUCAAAAAAUCUCAGUCCUUACAACUA
rnacentral:lncRNA from 1 species